rnacentral:lncRNA from 1 species
GUUCAAUCAUUUUUUUUUUUUUUUUUUUUACAAGGUGUCCUAUUCUAGACUAAUCCUUGGGUCUGUGAUCCGGCCCCUCUUCACACAGUCCGGUUAAUCGCAGGAUGUGCCUCCAACUGGCCAGGGUCUGAGCGCUCCCCACCUGGUCUGACAAAGUGCCAAGCAAGCCAAUCCAAGUUGCACCUUGCCUUCCAAGAAUAAUCCUUGCCUUCCAAGUUCCCACUUGCCUUCCAAAUGUUCCCUUGCCUUCCAAGAAUAAAUCCUUGCCUUCCAAGAGCCCCAUGUUUCGAACUCACGACCUCUGCUCUGCCAGGUUUGACAACGUCCGUCCUUUGCCAGUGGAGAAGUGCCC